UGGCUAUGUCACCCAAGCGGGAGUGCAAU
rnacentral:piRNA from 1 species